CCCUGACAGUGCUGUUAAUCACAACACAAACCAGGGUGGGCGGGACCUCAUGGCAUGGGCCGGAGUCGCGGGACGGGCUGCUGCUGAGCUAAAAAUGGAUAAACGUAAGAAACGCCAGGGUUGCGCUGAAAAACUGCGACUUAAAAAGCUGAAGUCUCUGGAGGUGGAAGCUGCUAAAUGUUCGAAAUUGACAGAACUAUUUUGUGCCGGGGUCACCACCCCAGCAGGUGCUGCUGCGCUGGGAGACGAGCGAGUGGAGGCAGACAUGGUUGACCACUUGACAUGUGAGAGCCUGAGGAGUUGUUCCCCCUCCGUCCAUUUUCAAGGACUUGCUCUCUUACUGCCUCCACUUCACCACUUUUUGGCUACUGAGACGUCUCUGAUUUGUUGAGUUGACCACCCUAUAUAUGAGAGCCUAAGGAGUUGUUUUCCCUCUGUCCCCUUUUGAGGACCUGCUUUGUCUCCUCCAUCAUUCACUGGGACACUUUGGGUUCCUGAGCUUAUUUCAUGUGGUUUUCCUGACCUGCUAGAAGUUCUUCUAUGAUGCUAAGAGAGAGAGAGAGAGAGAGAGAGAGAGAGAGAGAGAGAGAGAGAGAGCUUCGUCUUGACUUUGUCAUGAAUUUGGUGAGGAGUGGAGCUGGCUGGCUGCGGACAAGGAAGUAGGGCAAUAUAUACAUGUGCACAUACACGUAUACGAGAAUGCGUAUCUAUUCAGACCUGUAAUGCAUGUCUUAGACUUUUUCACACAGCUAUAGAUAAUUUUUUUUUUUUUCAAUUCUCUAUUUAUGGUUUCAUAAUGACUGAGUCACCGUUAAAACAAAUGAGUUUCAGCUCUAAUGCUGCUACUGUCUGUAAUAUGUUUAUAUUUAGAUUAUUUGUCAGGAUAUUUUGUUAUUAUUGUCUGGUUUUAACUAAUGCUGGGCUUACACCAAAAGAUUUUCAGUCACAGACUAAAAACUGAAAGGGUAGCAUGAGGGUUCUUCCCGUUAGUCUCGUUCAACCCCUAGUCAUGACAUAACUUCUGUUGUGAUUUGACACUAUAAUGAAUAAAGACAGUUUUAGUCCUUGA